AGAGCGAACGCUGGCGGCAGGCCUAACACAUGCAAGUCGAACGGACCCUUCGGGGUUAGUGGCGGACGGGUGAGUAACACGUGGGAACGUGCCUUUUGGUUCGGAAUAGCUCCUGGAAACGGGUGGUAAUGCCGAAUGUGCCCUUCGGGGGAAAGAUUUAUCGCCAUUAGAGCGGCCCGCGUCUGAUUAGCUAGUUGGUGAGGUAAUGGCUCACCAAGGCGACGAUCAGUAGCUGGUCUGAGAGGAUGACCAGCCACAGUUGGGACUGAGACCACCGGACCCAAACUCCGUAACGGGCGGACAGCGAGGUGGGGAACUC
rnacentral:rRNA from 1 species